rnacentral:lncRNA from 1 species
GAAUUGUACUGAAUUUGAAAAACAAGCAUGAAUCUUUCCUAUAGGAUAGGAAGCCUCUGAUUUAUACCAUAAAGUGAAAUUUCAUAUACAGGAUGUAUCAAUUAAGAUUUAAUUCAAAAAAGAUGAAUUUAAGUUAAAAAGAAAAACACAGGAUAACUUCCAUUCAUCUGAUGUUCAUAUGCCCUGGCACAUCUAUUGCUUCUUAUAAUGUGCUUGCUUAAAAAAAAAAAACAUGAGCUUUUCUCAGAGACACUAAUAUAAUGAAUUCAUGUACCCAUCACCAACUUCUACAAUUACCAAUAUUCAGCCUCUUCCAUUUACAACCUGCCCAUUUUCUAAGAAAUAAUUAAAGCACAUGCUACACCCAUAAA